rnacentral:rRNA from 1 species
CUGAUGGAGCACGCCGCGUGUGUGAUGAAGGCUUUCGGGUCGUAAAGCACUGUUGUAUGGGAAGAAAUGCUAAAAUAGGGAAUGAUUUUAGUUUGACGGUACCAUACCAGAAAGGGACGGCUAAAUACGUGCCAGCAGCCGCGGUAAUACGUAUGUCCCGAGCGUUAUCCGGAUUUAUUGGGCGUAAAGCGAGCGCAGACGGUUGAUUAAGUCUGAUGUGAAAGCCCGGAGCUCAACUCCGGAAUGGCAUUGGAAACUGGUUAACUUGAGUGUUGUAGAGGUAAGUGGAACUCCAUGUGUAGCGGUGGAAUGCGUAGAUAUAUGGAAGAACACCAGUGGCGAAGGCGGCUUACUGGACAACAACUGACGUUGAGGCUCGAAAGUGUGGGUAGCAAACAGGAUUAGAUACCCUGGUAGUCCACACCGUAAACGAUGAAUACUAGGUGUUAGGAGGUUUCCGCCUCUUAGUGCCGAAGCUAACGCAUUAAGUAUUCCGCCUGGGGAGUACGACCGCAAGGUUGAAACUCAAAGGAAUUGACGGGGACCCGCACAAGCGGUGGAGCAUGUGGUUUAAUUCGAAGCAACGCGAAGAACCUUACCAGGUCUUGACAUCCUUUGAAGCUUUUAGAGAUAGAAGUGUUCUCUUCGGAGACAAAGUGACAGGUGGUGCAUGGUCGUCGUCAGCUCGUGUCGUGAGAUGUUGGGUUAAGUCCCGCAACGAGCGCAACCCUUAUUGUUAGUUGCCAGCAUUCAGUUGGGCACUCUAGCGAGACUGCCGGUGACAAACCGGAGGAAGGCGGGGACGACGUCAGAUCAUCAUGCCCCUUAUGACCUGGGCUACACACGUGCUACAAUGGCGUAUACAACGAGUUGCCAACCUGCGAAGGUGAGCUAAUCUCUUAAAGUACGUCUCAGUUCGGACUGCAGUCUGCAACUCGACUGCACGAAGUCG